rnacentral:rRNA from 1 species
AGACGCCACAUGCGACGACGGGUAGCCGGCCUGAGAGGGUGACCGGCCACACUGGGACUGAGACACGGCCCAGACUCCUACGGGAGGCAGCAGUGGGGAAUAUUGCACAAUGGGCGAAAGCCUGAUGCAGCGACGCCGCGUGAGGGAUGACGGCCUUCGGGUUGUAAACCUCUUUCAGCAGGGACGAAGCGAAAGUGACGGUACCUGCAGAAGAAGCGCCGGCUAACUACGUGCAGCAGCCGCGG